rnacentral:hammerhead_ribozyme from 1 species
AUCCAGCUGACCACGAGUCGCAAAUAAGACGAAAUGCUCAUCCUGGAU